rnacentral:lncRNA from 1 species
AAGGGUUGAAAAAUAAUUAUUUUAUUUUGGUAAAAAGAAAAAAAAAAGAAAUUUUCUUUUAAGGGAGAAAAUAUAGAGGCAAACUCUGCUUACCCUAAUAAUCCAUAGUUUAUUCGGUUGGAUUCCAAAUUUAUUUUGGAUUUAAUGCGACUAUCAAAUGAUAAUAUUUUGUACACGAAUUAACAUGUCGGUGAAAACACGAGAUUAUCAUAAAAUUUAUUGUGAAUUUUUUUCAAACCAAAACAAAAAAAGUAAAAGUUAUAUUCAAAAAAGAAAGAAAGUGGAAAUAAAAAUAUGUGCACG